AGCGAACGCUGGCGGCAGGCCUAACACAUGCAGGUCGAACGGAUCCUUCGGCAUUAGUGGCGGACGGGUGAGUAACACGUGGGAACGUGCCCUUUGGUUCGGAACAACUCAGGGAAACUUGAGCUAAUACCGGAUGUGCCCUUCGGGGGAAAGAUUUAUCGCCAUUGGAGCGGCCCGCGUCUGAUUAGCUAGUUGGUGAGGUAACGGCCCACCAAGGCGACGAUCAGUAGCUGGUCUGAGAGGAUGAUCAGCCACACUGGGACUGAGACACGGCCCAGACUCCUACGGGAGGCAGCAGUGGGGAAUCUUGCGCAAUGGGCGAAAGCCUGACGCAGCCAUGCCGCGUGAAUGAUGAAGGUCUUAGGAUUGUAAAAUUCUUUCAGCGGGGACGAUAAUGACGGUACCCGCAGAAGAAGCUCCGGCUAACUUCGUG
rnacentral:rRNA from 1 species